rnacentral:rRNA from 1 species
GACGAACGCUGGCGGCGUGCUUAACACAUGCAAGUCGAACGGAAAGGCCCUGCUUUUGUGGGGUGCUCGAGUGGCGAACGGGUGAGUAACACGUGAGUAACCUGCCCUUGACUUUGGGAUAACUUCAGGAAACUGGGGCUAAUACCGGAUAGGAGCUCCUGCUGCAUGGUGGGGGUUGGAAAGUUUCGGCGGUUGGGGAUGGACUCGCGGCUUAUCAGCUUGUUGGUGGGGUAGUGGCUUACCAAGGCUUUGACGGGUAGCCGGCCUGAGAGGGUGACCGGCCACAUUGGGACUGAGAUACGGCCCAGAGUCCUACGGGAGGCAGCAGUGGGGAAUAUUGCACAAUGGGCGGAAGCCUGAUGCAGCAACGCCGCGUGCGGGAUGACGGCCUUCGGGUUGUAAACCGCUUUCGCCUGUGACGAAGCUUGAGUGACGGUAAUGGGUAAAGAAGCACCGGCUAACUACGUG